UACGAAAGGGCACUUUAAUGAGACUGCCGGUGACAAACCGGAGGAAGGUGGGGAUUGACGUCAAGUCCUCAUGGCCCUUAUGGGUAGGGCUUCACAACGUCAUACAAUGGUCGGUACAGAGGGUUGCCAAGCCGCGAGGUGGAGCCAAUCCCAGAAAACCGAUCGUAGUCCGGAUCGCAGUCUGCAACUCGACUGCGUGAAGUCGGAAUCGCUAGUAAUCGCGGAUCAGAAUGCCGCGGUGAUACGUUCCCGGUCUUGCACUCACCGCCCGU
rnacentral:rRNA from 1 species